UACGUAGGGAGCAAGCGUUGUCCGGAAUCAUUGGGCGUAAAGCGCGCGUAGGUGGCCAUGUAAGUCCGCUGUGAAAGUCAAAGGCUCAACCUUUGAAAGCCGGUGGAUACUGCAUGGCUAGAGUACGGAAGAGGCGAGUGGAAUUCCUGGUGUAGCGGGUGGAAUGCGCAGAUAUCAGGAGGAACACCAAUAGCGAAGGCAGCUCGCUGGGACGUCACUGACACUGAGGCGCGAAAGCGUGGGGAGCGAACAGG
rnacentral:rRNA from 1 species